rnacentral:rRNA from 1 species
UACGGAGGGUGCAAGCGUUAAUCGGAAUUACUGGGCGUAAAGGGUGCGCAGGCGGUUAUAUAAGACAGAUGUGAAAUCCCCGGGCUCAACCUGGGAACUGCGUUUGUGACUGUAUGACUAGAGUACGGUAGAGAGGGGUGGAAUUCCUGGUGUAGCAGUGAAAUGCGUAGAUAUCAGGAGGAACAUCGAUGGCGAAGGCAGCCCCUUGGACCUGUACUGACGCUCAUGACACGGAAAGCAGUGGGGAGCAAACAAGG